rfam:Anopheles farauti strain FAR1 unplaced genomic scaffold supercont2.2, whole genome shotgun sequence.
UCUAGCUCUGAUUGUCCAAACGCAAUUCUUGUCGGUAUACUUUAGCUACUCAAGAGUUGUGACUGGACAUCCGUGGCUCGA